rnacentral:tRNA from 3 species
GCGUCCAUAGCUCAGAUGGAUAGAGCAGCGGUUUCCUAAACCGUGUGUCAGGGGUUCGACUCCCUUUGGGCGCACCA